rnacentral:lncRNA from 1 species
AGAUCUGAACCCAACCAUAAAGAAUCCAACUCAAUCCAAGUCUUGAUGGGUCCCGAACUAAAGCAUAAUGGUUCAACCCGAAUGACUAAACAAACCUAAGGCGGUUCAUCUCGAAUCAAAUACAAAAGAUUCGAGCCAAACCAAAACCCAAAGUCCACAAAUGAACCCAAAACCCAAAGUCCACAAAUGAACCCAAAACCCAAAGUCCACAAAUGAACCCAAAACCCAAAGUCCACAAAUAAACCCAAAACCCAAAGUCCACAAAUAAACCUAAAACCCAAAGUCCACAAACAAAACCCCAAAACCCAAAACAACCAAAUCCAAUCGACCGUAAAGUUGUUAAACUAAACCCAAAUUUCAAACGACCGAAAAGUCGUUAAACUAAACACAAACUCAAACGACCGAAANUCUCAUUGAGGAACCUCCGAUUCGCAGCCACGUGUUAGUUUUUUUCUCUAUUCAAAUAUUAUAAUCCUCCCCUCUAGAGUUUAUAAUUCUUUUUGGGAUUUUAAUAUUAAAAGCACCCAAUGAAUUUUUGGAUAUAAAUAAAACUGACACGUGACAGUGAAUUGGAAAGCUCUUUACCAAGUUUUAUCCUAAUUUGUUUUCUUUCUUAUCCUGCCUUUUCCUUAUCUUUUAUUAUUGUGGUCGGACUAAUUAUAUAAUUAUGCAUAAAAAUUUAUUAAGAAUAAUAAUCUUAUAUUGAAUACAAGGCAGAAUCUUGAUUUGUAUAUAAUGCAGAGAAUAUUUUCACUUAUCAGUUUAAACUUAUCAGAGAAGAUUCAUUAUAUUGGUCUAAGCUUUUGGUAACAGUUUAGCAAGAACUAAAGUAUUCAUCACUGUCGCAUAAAGGACAAACAAGAGCUCACAACCACAAAAACCCCCUAAUUAUGUACUCUCUCUCUCUCUCUCUCUCUCUCUCUCUCUCUACCACAAAAGCCCACAUCAAAAGAAAACCCCACACGGCCGCACCUUAAAACCCAACAACUUGAGCAAACUUAGUCCAUAUGCCCCACCAAUUAUUAUCUUCUCACAUCAUAUGCCCAUACACUACUAUUACUACUACUACUAUAGUACACCGAAUUUUCAAUAUAAAAAUAAGUAUAAAUAAAAAUAAUAUGAGAUACUAUUUUUAUUGGAUUUAAAGAAAUAAAAUAUAAGUCGAAAAUAACUUGUACUGAAAUUGAAAUAAGAAUAUAUGAUUUAUAAUUUUCUAUAAGAAAUGAGACUGAUAUUUCAGCUAAAAAAUUCACAGUAUUAGAAAAUUAUGAAAAUUUGAGAAUAUAUCGGAAUUAUUUUUCUGAUACUAGAUUUAAAGUUUCAUAUCAUUCUGAUACUCGAAAAGUGAAAAACAAAACCUAAUAGCAAUCUAAUAGAGAUUUUAGUCGGUAGAUCUUCCGGUGACCAAAAAUGGUUCAAAACUAAAAAAUUAAGAUCACAUUCUUUUGAUUAAUUUUAACUAAGCCUGACUGUCAAAUUUCAGCGCAAACGGACAUUCAAAGAGGCUCCGAUGAAAAGUAUCAAAUUUUGAAUUUGACUAAAGUUUUUAUGCUUAAUUUCUGUGGACCUACGGGCAAUUGUUACAUUGCUGAGUGGAUUUCCAUGCUUAGUGGAUUUCCACUAAAGCUGCCAGGGAACUCUUGAAGCUUCCUCCACCUUGAACAUGUAUGCAAGAGAGAGAAAGGGAGAGGAAAAGAAAGGGAAAAGAGANCUACUGUUCGUAGUAGUGUUUGAUUUACAGGUACAGCUGUCGCUUCGUAUACAGGGAAAAUUUCUUUGUAUACGGCGGAUUUGUCGGCGUGCCCAGGGAACGUGUAAUUCGGGGCGUGACAGAACAAGCUUGUUCCAGUAAAAUGGUGGAACAGUAGUUCCAGCCUUAUACCGGCUUGUUCUUAAAAUCCUGGAACUAUUGUUCCCGGGCAACAAAUAUUGCGUUUGGGAACAAAAGGGGAACAAGGGCUUAUUCCCCCCUUUGUUCCCCAACCAAACACUACCUUAGUCCAUAUGCCCCACCAAUUAUUAUCUUCUCACAUCAUAUUCCCAUACACUACUACUACUACUACUACUAUAGUACACCGAAUUUUCAAUAUAAAAGCAAGUAUAAAUAAAAAUAAUAUGAGAUAUUAUUUUUAUUGGAUUUAGAAAAAUAAAAUAUAAGUCGGAAAUAAAUUGUGCUGAAAUUAAAAUAAGAAUAUAUGAUUUAUAAUUUUCUGUAAGAAAUGAAACUGAUAUUUCAGCUGAAAAAGUCACAGUGUCAGAAAAUUAUGAAAAUUUGAGAAUAUGUCGGAAUUAUUUUUUUGAUGCUAGAAUUAAAGUUUCAUAUCAUUCCGACACUCGAAAAGUGAAAAACAAAACCUGAUAGCAAUCUAAUAGAAAUUUUAGUCGGUAGAUCUUUCGAUGACCAAAAAUGGUUCAAAACUGAAAAAUUAAGAUCACAUUCUUCUGAUUAAUUUUAAUUAGGCCUGACUGUCAAAUUUCAGCGCAAACGGACAUUCAGAGAGGCUCCGACCAAAAAUAUCAUAUUUUGAAUUUGACUAAAGUU